CCGCGCGGCCGCGGGAGGUGCAGUUCCCGCCCGAGCGCUGAGGGGGCGGGCGGACAUUGCCGUGUCGUGACACGGUCGCGGCGGGCUGCGACAGAUGGGACCGUGCGGAACCAGCAGCCGCUACCCAGGGGAGCUCUGAGUGUGCACCUGGGAUAGCCCCCCCGAUAUCCUCCUGGCUCCGCCCUCAGGAGUCCCGCCAGCCUCACGCAGGUCUGGGUGCCUGCCUGCUGGCCCUCGCUCCCUUCGGGCGUUUUCGAGGAAGAACUUCCCUGGACGCCUGGGUUCACCAAGCAGUUGGUCCAGCCUGUAAGCGACUCUGUCUCCUGUCCCGACCACUCGCUGUUGCCAAGGCCUGAUUCAAUUUGAACAUCUAGGGACACAGAAGUUUUCCAGCUCGUUAUACCAGGGCCAGCAGUAUUCUUCAGCGUCAACAAGGGGCUUGGCUGAAUCAGUGAGAUCAUUAAGUGAGAGUCCCGGGCUGAAUUUCCUGCAGACUCUGGGAGGCUGCCCUGAGGAAGCACACCUUAUAUCCCUGGCUUUCCCCUACUCCUAUUUUGUCUACAUGACAAGGCACUUCCUAACUUUACUGGCCAAGGCUUCAGUCUGUGACCCCUUGCACACCUAAACCUCCUGCAAUGCAAAACUAAAGAAAAAAGCUGCACAUUAUGGCAAUGAUUGAGACCAGAAUACAUUUCUCUUACUCCUUCAGAUACUCUGCCUUUCAUCUGGAUGGGCCAAAUUACAUGACUUGGUGGUUGACCCCUUUACUGUUUUAACCUCUAGCUCCUAUAGCUAGGGGCAGAACCCAGUAUUCCUGGACUUGAUAAUUCUCCUGCUAUUUAGCAAGUAGUUUGUAAUCAAAUGGUAAACUAUGAGUUGAGGCCCUCUCUUCUCGCCAAACUUCAUAAAAUUUAAUUACUCCCGGAGUUCAAGUGGUGGCAUGUUUUGUGAGAGAUGUGGAGGCCUAGUAUGCAGCUUUCAGAUAGACAUUGUAAUUGAGCUUCUGAUUUUUUCCCCUCCUUUUUUUGUUCCCAACAAUUAAUUAAAUUCGCACAUUGAAACCUU